rnacentral:rRNA from 1 species
AGAGUUUGAUCCUGGCUCAGGACGAACGCUGGCGGCGGGCUUAACACAUGCAAGUCGCGGGAGAAGGGGGUCCUUCGGGACCCCUGGAGACCGGCGGAUGGGUGAGUAACGCGUAGGCAAUCUGCCUACAGGACGGGGAUAACGUUCCGAAAGGAACGCUAAUACCCGAUGAUGCAGCGGGGGCGUAUGCCCGCCGCUGUCAAAGGCUUCGGCCACCUGUAGAGGAGCCUGCGUGCCAUUAGCUGGUUGGUGCGGUAACGGCGCACCAAGGCGAUGAUGGCUAGGGGGUCUGAGAGGAUGAUCCCCCACACUGGGACUGAGACACGGCCCAGACUCCUACGGGAGGCAGCAGUGAGGAAUCUUGCGCAAUGGGGGCAACCCUGACGCAGCCACGCCGCGUGCUGGAAGACGGCCCUAUGGGUUGUAAACAGCUUUUGGGUAGGAAGAACCUGGGUCUUUCGAGACCCACUGACGGUACUACCAGAAUAAGCACCGGCUAACUCCGUGCCAGCAGCCGCGGUAAUACGGAGGGUGCAAGCGUUGUCCGGAAUUAUUGGGUGUAAAGGGUGCGCAGGCGUCCCGGCAGGUUUUCGGUGAAAUCUUCCCGCUUAACGGGAGAAGGGCCGGAAAAACCGCCGGGAUUGAGUCCGGAAGAGGUUGGUGGAAUUCGUGGUGUAGCGGUGAAAUGCAUAGAGAUCACGAAGAACACCAGUGGCGAAGGCGGCCAACU